GCUGAGACUUUUCCAAAAGUACUGAAGUAAGAACUGAGUGCCCAACUUGUCACUGUGUUGAGAGCUCAGAGAUAAUACGGGCUUUAAAAAGCUAAGAGGCCCCAGAAGUCAACUCGGAGUUUAAAAGGAAGGGGCUAUCAACAUUGAAGACAAAAAAGGAAGACUUUCUUUAAAACCAAAACCAAGGGAAUUAAUUGUUAACAUAAAAUAUGUGGAAGGAACUCCUUCAGGUGGAAAGAAACAGAGUUUGUCCCGCACUGGGGCUGGAGAGAUGGCUCAUCAGUUGAAAGGGCAUGCUGCUCUUCCAGGGGAAUUGACUCAGUCCCCACUAGCAAUCUCAGAAGCCUCACAAACACCUCCAGCUCUAGGGAGGUCUUAUGCCUUCUUCUGGCUUCUUCUCACACAUGCACACACACACACGCACACACACAAAUAUACACACACAUACACACAUGCACACAUACAUACACACACAGUCAUCACCCACAUAGACAUAUAUGCAUACACUUAAUGUAAAAACAAAUCUUUUAAGAUUGUCCUAUACAAACAAAUGAAGAUCUCUGAAAAUAGUUAAAACUGAAAAUAUUUUGAAAGUCUUUUUUUUUUAACUUUUAAAAAUUGCCUGUAAAUGUAAGCAACUAAGAAAUAGCAAUGCUGCUUGGUCUAAAAUGUACAUAAAGAGAACAUGUUUGUGAAGAGGAAAGGGAGCAGUGGGGAGAGGGCUUAAUUACAUCCCUUUGUUACGUUCUGGAAAUGAGAACUUCAUUUGCAGUGGCCUCAGCAUUUUGUAAAACGAGAUCCUUUGAACCCGAAUGCUACAUCCUCACUUUCAACUCUGUGCGUGUCUUGCUUCUACACACGUACCUCCACACGCUUCUGUACGGAGAACACCUUGUACUUCAUCCACCUUCGAGGAUUCAGAAGCGUUUCCUUCCUCAGAGUGAAGUAACUCCUUUCUGAAAAAUGGCAGUAGACAUCAAUGACUUCAGAAGUCACUCAUCUUAAAGCUUCAACCUACAGGAAAGGAUCAAGAGAGCCUCGCAAGCCUGCUUGGUGACAGCAGCAGCAAGCAGAGUCAUGAUUUCACCAAGACUGCAGUUUCCAGAGAAGGGGAAAUACUGACGUCACCCGAUCCCUCUUCCCACUUGUGUCUUAAGAUGGAAAAAAAAAAACCCAACAGACUAAUUAAAGGAAUAACACCAA